rnacentral:rRNA from 1 species
GAUCAUGGCUCAGAUUGAACGCUGGCGGCAGGCUUAACACAUGCAAGUCGAGCGGGGAAGUAUAGCUUGCUAUACGACCUAGCGGCGGACGGGUGAGUAAUGCUUAGGAAUCUGCCUAUUAGUGGGGGACAACAUUCCGAAAGGAAUGCUAAUACCGCAUACGCCCUACGGGGAAAGCAGGGGAUCUUCGGACCUUGCGCUAAUAGAUGAGCCUAAGUCAGAUUAGCUAGUUGGUGGGG